rnacentral:tRNA from 7 species
UGGGCUGUAGCCAAGCGGUAAGGCACAUGACUUUGACUCAUGCAUGCGCUAGUUCGAAUCUAGCCAGCCCAACCA